rnacentral:misc_RNA from 1 species
UUUCCGUAGGUGAACCUGCGGAAGGAUCAUUAAUGAGUUGUCAUGGGGUUCGAUGCUGGCAGCCAGUUUUUGGAUGCUUGUGCUUGCCCUAACAAUCAUCUUCUUCCAAACACCUGUGCACAUUUUUGAGGGAGUCUUGAGUUGGUUGCCGCUCUUGGGUGAUUUUCUCACAUUCCCUUAAAUCAUUAUACGCUAUUAACAAUGUUGAACGUGCUCUGUGCCGCAAGGCCAUUAAUAUAAUACAACUUUUAACAACGGAUCUCUUGGCUCUC